GAGGACUUAGUUUAAUUAAAGCGGUUGAUUUGCAUUCAAUUGAUGUAAGAUGUAGUCUUGCAGUCCUUA
rnacentral:tRNA from 1 species